rnacentral:lncRNA from 1 species
ACACCGCUGCCACAUCUGGUGAGGGGGGCGGGUCCGCUUUCCGGGUGACUCACAUCCUCGCUAUUUGCCUUUUGUUUCUAUGAUGCCUUGGCUGCUGUUUUCGUCCCUCUGCUUUUAAUUUGGGGAGAAGAAAAGUAAUGAAUCAAGAAUGAAUCUCUUCUCCACCAAUCCCUUUUUUCCCCUUUCUUUUCCUUCUCCCUCAAGUUGGCUCUCUCCCUUCCCAAGUCCCGAAACCAGGCAAGAAGCGCGGGGGCGGGACAGGUGGGGACGCACUAAUUGCACCUAAACCUGAAGUUGGCAGUCCAAGGCAUCACUUGGCUGGGAAGACUUUCUGAAACUCCCUUGCGGACUGCUGGGGUUUUUUGCUGCUGCCGCUGUGCAUUUUCAGCUCGUUUCUCUAUGCUGCGGCUUCGCGCUGCUUGGUCACGCCAAAAUCUAUCUGGUUCUGCCGUAAGUGCCAGAAUCUGGGCGAAUUCCACGAGAUUCACCAGCGGUUUUGUUCCUGUUCAAGGCUUGCCCUCCCCCGCCCCCCGGGUUGGUUUUUCCCAGCCGCGGAGGUUGGGCCAGGGGCUGGGGUGCGAGGAGCGUCGGCUCCGGCAGCGUGGAGCGGGGAAGUCGCCGCGACUCUGGUGGGACUCGGAGUUGUCCCUGGAGGUCGCGCAGUGGACCCAGCGCGAAGCGCCAACCCUAGAGGCAAGGAGGUACCACCCGGGGGCGCCGGCUGGAAGAGGAGCGGGAGGAGUGAGCGCGGAGCUGGGCGUCCCGACCCGCCGGAAACAUCAUACCCUACAUUUCAAGGUGACAACUUGCAUGCAGGAGAAUUGGACUGUGGCUAAAACAGCUGUAACCUGAAGAGUAUCAUGAGAAAGAGCAAAUGAAACAGAUUACAAAGUGAUCACAAUCAUGUCAGAAUUGCAGCAGGAAAAGCCUAGGAGGAAACACAUCACAGUGGCAAAAGUUGUCGUCUAUGGGUAGGUGAAUACAAGUAGAUUUUUUUCUUCUUUCUACUUUUCUGUGUUGUCUAUACAUUUGUAAUGCACUUGUAUUAUUUUUAUAUUUGAAAAUACAAAAUAAACAAACAAAAAAGGAAAAUACA